rfam:Human rhinovirus type 14 polyprotein gene.
UUAAAACAGCGGAUGGGUAUCCCACCAUUCGACCCAUUGGGUGUAGUACUCUGGUACUAUGUACCUUUGUACGCCUGUUUCUCCC